rnacentral:rRNA from 1 species
CACAUGCAAGUCGAACGGUAACAGGAAGAAGCUUGCUUCUUUGCUGACGAGUGGCGGACGGGUGAGUAAUGUCUGGGAAACUGCUGAUGGAGGGGGAUAACUACUGGAAACGGUAGCUAAUACCGCAUAACGUCGCAAGACAAAGAGGGGGACCUUCGGGCCUCUUGCCAUCGGAUGUGCCCAGAUGGGAUAGCUAGUAGUGGGGUAACGGUCACCUAGGCGAGAUCCCUAGCUGGUCUGAGAGGGAAUUGACCCCAGCCACACUGGAACUGAGACACGNGUCCAGACUCCUACGGGAGGCAGCAGUGGGGAAUAUUGCACAAUGGGCGCAAGCCUGAUGCAGCCAUGCCGCGUGUAUGAAGAAGGCCUUCGGGUUGUAAAGUACUUUCAGCGGGGAGGAAGGGAGUAAAGUUAAUACCUUUGCUCAUUGACGUUACCCGCAGAAGAAGCACCGGCUAACUCCGUGCCAGCAGCCGCGGUAAUACGGAGGGUGCAAGCGUUAAUCGGAAUUACUGGGCGUAAAGCGCACGCAGGCGGUUUGUUAAGUCAGAUGUGAAAUCCCCGGGCUCAACCUGGGAACUGCAUCUGAUACUGG